AUACCAUUCUUUUAUACAUUUAUUUAUGUUUAUACUAUACUUUUUAGAUGCCUUUGUGUAAAAGAAAGUGGUUGAAAUGUAAAAGAAGCUACUUGGAAUGUCUAUAAUAUCAUGUGUCUUUGUAUGUUUACACCUGCUUGAAGGAAAGAGUAAAUCAUUUCCUGAGAACCCCACAGUUGUAUAGCUAGUUCCACCUCUGAUCUGCUCUGAAGCAUUUAACCUCUCUUAACCUUGGUUUCCUUAUUUAGAGGAAGUGGCUGUUGAGCCUUACCUAAAUCAUAAAUGAACAUGAACUUCAGUGAGGAUUGAAGAAUGAAUGAAGGAAUGAAUGUGCUUAAUUUAGUGGUCUAACACAUAGCAAAUGUAAAAAUAUAAUGAUCUAACAUAGACUUUAAUAUAAUUUUUUAAUACAUGAGACAGUUCUUUAUAGUUCUUUGGACUUAGAACUAUGUACAAUGCAACCUCAGAAUUUUGAAAAGGUAGUUAACUCUUGCAU